CGCUUCUUGUUGUAUUAAUUUGAAGUAUGGCCUGCCCACUGAUAGUUAUUGAAGGGCCGCGGUAUUUUGACCGUGCAAAGGUAGCAUAAUCAUUAGUUUUUUAAUUGUGGACUGGUAUGAAUGGUUUGACGAAAUGCUAGCUGUCUUUGGUUUGCGAUAUAUUGAAUUUGUUGUUUGGGUAAAAAUACCUAAAUUUUUUUAUGGGACGAGAAGACCCUAUAGAGUUUUAUAUAAUGUAUUUCUUUUUGGUUUGUUUUUGUUUUUGUUGGGUAUAUUAUAUUUUGUUGGGGUGAUGGGAGGAUAAAUAUAACUCUUCUUUGUGUUUUUCACUUAUUUGUGUUUUUGUGAUCCUUAAUGUUGAUUUUAAGAUCAAGUUACCUUAG
rnacentral:rRNA from 1 species